rnacentral:rRNA from 1 species
UAAGGAAUAUUGGACAAUGGGGGCAACCCUGAUCCAGCCAUCCCGCGUGCAGGAUGACAGCCCUAUGGGUCGUAAACUGCUUUUAUCAGGGAAGAACCGUCUCCAUUUAUGGGGGCCUGACGGUACCUGAGGAAUAAGCACCGGCUAACUCCGUGCCAGCAGCCGUGGUAAUACGGAGGGUGCAAGCGUUAUCCGGAAUCACUGGGUUUAAAGGGUGCGUAGGCGGUUUGGUAAGUCAGAGGUGAAAGCUCAUCGCUUAACGAUGGAAUUGCCUUUGAUACUGUCAGACUUGAAUUGGGCUGAGGUUUGCGGAAUGAGUCAUGUAGCGGUGAAAUGCAUAGAUAUGACUUAGAACACCAAUUGCGAAGGCAGCAGACUAGACCUAAAUUGACGCUGAGGCACGAAAGCGUGGGGAGCGAACAGGAUUAGAUACCCCCGUAGUCC